CAGCAGCCGCGGGAAUACGUAGGUCCUGAGCGUUGUCCGGAUUUAUUGGGCGUAAAGCGAGCGCAGGCGGUUAGAUAAGUCUGAUGUGAAAGCCCACGGCUCAACCGUGGAGGGUCAUUGGAAACUGUUAAACUUGAGUGCAGGAGAGAAAAGUGGAAUUCCUAGUGUAGCGGUGAAAUGCGUAGAUAUUGGGAGGAACACCGGCGGCGAAGGCGGCUUACUGGACGACAACUGACGUUGAGGCUCGAAAGCCAGGGAAGCGAACGGGAUUAGAUACCCCCGUAGUCCCUGUCUCUUAUAC
rnacentral:rRNA from 1 species